AUGUUGGAGGCCACAAGGGCGAGGAGAUGGAGGCAGAGGGCAGAGAGUAUCCGCGACGACGCCAUGUCAUGGACUCAGUGCGUGAAGGUGUGGAAGGAUGCAGGGAAGGACAUGGAGGCAGAUCUCACGUUCCUGAUGGGAAAGGUAUGUAGAGAUCUGCAGGAGACAGGCAGAUCAGGAGUUGGCAAAUUUUACUUUGUGGGUACGGAGUUGGUGCGGACGAGGAUACCGCUGCCAUCCGCGGCGUUGGUGGCCUUUAUAACUUGGGUGAAACAAGAGGUGAAGUCAGAAGAUCCACAUCAUAGUGCAAGGUGGGAGUGCAUGCUGGGAUUAAUGCCCACUAGAGUUCCAUCUCCGCCAGAGCCAGUGGAUCCGUUACUAUUUCUCUCGCCCGAGCCGACAAUGGACUGA
rnacentral:rRNA from 1 species